CUGACAUCCAUGCAGCACUGAGAGAACUGACCGCCACCGUUUCAGAGCAGAAAGAAAACAUCAGAGCUUUAGAGAUGCAACUGUGGGAACAACAGACGUUUAUCCUGGAAGAGCUGAGCAAGAAAAAUGAUGAAAUUUCAAAUCUUACUCAGAGUCAAGUGGAUUUGAGAAAGGAAAAUAGAGAAAUGUCAGAUCUUACUCUGAGUCAAGUGCGGGAGUUGAGAAAGGAAAAUAGAG